GACGAACGCUGGCGGCGUGCCUAAUACAUGCAAGUCGAACGCAUUUUCUUUCACCGUAGCUUGCCACACCGAAAGAAACUUAGUGGCGAACGGGUGAGUAACACGUUGGUAACCUGCCCAUCAGCGGGGGAUAACACUUGGAAACAGGUGCUAAUACCGCAUAAUUCCAUUUACCGCAUGGUAGAUAGUUGACAGGCGCUUUUGCGUCACUGAUGGAUGGACCCGCGGUGCAUUAGCUAGUUGGUGGGGUACCGGCCUACCAAGGCUAGGAAGCAUAGCCGAACUGAGGGCGUGAUCGGCCACACUGGGACUGAGACACCGCCCAGACGGCUGCCGGAGGCAGCAGUAGGGAAUCUUCGGCAAUGGACGGAAGACUAACCGAGCAACGCCGCAAGAGUGAAGAAGGUUAUCGGAUCGUAAAACUCGGUUGUUAGAGAAGAAAAAGGAUGGGGGUAUACAGUUCAUCCCUUGUCGGUAACUAAACAGAAAGCCACGGCUAACUACGUG
rnacentral:rRNA from 1 species